UCCUACGGGGGGCAGCAGUGAGGAAUAUUGGUCAAUGGUCGGGAGACUGAACCAGCCAAGCCGCGUGAGGGAUGAAGGUACAGAGUAUCGUAAACCUCUUUUGUCAGGGAACAAAGGCGGGGACGCGUCCCCGGAUGAGUGUACCUGAAGAAAAAGCAUCGGCUAACUCCGUGCCAGCAGCCGCGGUAAUACGGAGGAUGCGAGCGUUAUCCGGAUUUAUUGGGUUUAAAGGGUGCGUAGGCGGACUGUCAAGUCAGCGGUAAAAUACGGGGGCUCAACCUCCGCCCGCCGUU
rnacentral:rRNA from 1 species